GGCAGAAACAGUAAGCACUGCAUUUUAACCUUGCAGACACUCUUGAAUGACAAAAUGCAUUUCACUUCACUCUGUAGGAACUACAAUAACAUAUAUAUCUAUCUCUCUAAGAAUACAUUUUUUUGCUUGAGCAAUGACUGGUGCAAGUUAUUCUUUCACACACUGACAAAUUAUGUUGUAAAUGUGGUUGUGUUCUUUUGUUGCCACCUUGUUGUGUAUAAUGGAUUCAAUAAUUGUUUAACAGGAGAGUGUAGAGGAAAGAAGGAGACUGAUUGAAGAGCAAGAUUCUGAAUAUGAACAGUCCUUGCUGUCGGACAGAGAAAAGGUAAUUUAAUUUUUUUUUUAAACAGCAGAAAUUCAGAAGCCUACAUAUGUAACUAUGUUAAUGACAUGUAUUGUACAGAUUAAUAAUGAGAGAAGAAGAGAACAGCAAGAGGAGAGACGACUCCAGGUCAUACGUGAGAGGAUACAACUGUCUGCAAUUUUCCCUUCAGAAGGAGAUGUUACAUUUCAGUUUCACUAUCCGGAUGGCUCUCGGAAACGCAGACAUUUCCAGCUGCAGAACACUAUACAACAACUCAUAUUCUAUGCAGGAGCAGUGGAUUCAGCAACUGAAUCACUCUGCUUGAUAUCACACAGUCCAGCUGUUGUAAUAACAACCUCGUCUAAUGGGAAAAUAGGAGACUACAUCACCCAAUCCACCACAUUUUUUGUUCGCUGGAUGGGAGCUGAAGAUGUAUGUUAUACAUUUUUCUAAUUGUGCUGAUUAAUUGACUAAACUAAAGCCCCAAAAACUGUAAUCUGUUUUAACUGAUAGGACUUUAUAAUUAACUUAGACCUCUCAAAGUCUGUCAGGGAUGUCCCUGUGUAGACAUAUGCUACAAGUCAAAACUUUGUGUACAGUAAGAUAUGUAAUGUUAGGUUUUUUGGAAAGGAUAGUGGAAAUUGACAGUAAAGCUUUUUUUUUUUGAGGUGGAGAGAGAGUUAUGGGAUCGGGAAAAGAACUCAAGUCACAGCUGCGCCAUAUGUCAGUGUGUAAGCCACUUGGUUAUCAAUGGUGACAAGAGAUGUUCCUUAGAUCAAAAAUACAGGAAAAUGCUUUUCUAUUUCAAUAUACAUUCCAAUGUAAUUUAAUCAUGUGAUCAAAGCAGAAUUUUUAGUAUCAUUACUC
rnacentral:lncRNA from 12 species